GGUCCAAUGCCACUUCUCUGGUAGCCUGGUGCAUUGACCCGAGAUGCUAUGAUUGGGCCAAGAUCAACUCAAGUUUUGAUGCUUCGCAAGUUGAUAGGAACCUGUGGAUUAGAUGGUUAUUGUCUAUCCACGGAGCCGGUUUAUGCGAUUACAUCU